UACGUAGGAUGCGAGCGUUGUCCGGAAUUAUUGGGCGUAAAGAGCUCGUAGGCGGUUUGUCGCGUCUGCUGUGAAAACCUAAGGCUCAACCUUGGGCUUGCAGUGGGUACGGGCAGACUAGAGUGCGGUAGGGGUGACUGGAAUUCCUGGUGUAGCGGUGGAAUGCGCAGAUAUCAGGAGGAAUACCGGUGGCGAAGGCGGCAUCCUGGACCGGCAUUG
rnacentral:rRNA from 1 species